rnacentral:lncRNA from 1 species
UCUUUUCUUUUCUUUUUCUUUUCUUUUCUUUUUCUUCUUCUUCUUCCAGCGCCGGAACAGGGGACUGGCGUCCCCUCCCUUUUGCCGGGCCGUUCAGGCCACGGCCACCGCGGCGGAGGCCGGCGGCUGACGGGGGCCACUCCCCCAGUCUCGGAGGAGCGUGGCCGACGGUCAAUUUCGAUCGCCGGCGUCGGAAAAGUUCACGGGAAAGAGACCAAAACAGAGGUCCCUUUCACCGAUCGAAAAUCGGCGACGCUCGUCGCCAGCAGCCGCGCACAGGGCAUGGGAGGAAGAGGAAGGAAGGGAGGAAAAGGAGGGAAGCUUACCUAGACCUCCGGUGACUUCGUCGGAGAGCAGUCACGGCGAAGACAAAGCGGUGUCCGCGGCUCUAUUUCGAAAAAAUCGGAGAGAAGGAGAGAGGGAGGAGGCCG